UACGGAGGGUGCAAGCGUUAUCCGGAUUCACUGGGUUUAAAGGGUGCGUAGGUGGGCAGUUAAGUCAGUGGUGAAAUCUCCCGGGCUCAACCCGGAAACUGCCAUUGAUACUAUCUGUCUUGAAUAUCGUGGAGGUAAGCGGAAUAUGUCAUGUAGCGGUGAAAUGCUUAGAUAUGACAUAGAACACCAAUUGCGAAGGCAGCUUACUACCCGAAUAUUGACACUGAGGCACGAAAGCGUGGGGAUCAAACAGG
rnacentral:rRNA from 1 species